UAUCAGAUUCAGUAUUUUCUCCAUCUUAUGGCAGCAUAUAUUUUCAACACAGAGUGAGGGCAGUGUCAUUCCUCCUGUCCACUACCCCAACUUCUACUCCCAACACUACCACAACAAUGAGCGGUCUGGUGUGGUGGCUGAGGAUUCUUUUGAAGAGGACAAUGCUUCUGCUUCAUCUGAGCAGCUUGAAGCUGCCUGCAGAAAUAGGCAAAACAGCAACUGACAAAAGAAUAAAGUUGAAGGAAACUGGAGUUUCCCUGCAAAACAAGCUAUCAAGAAGACCAAUACAAUUCAAAGUGUCUGGCUAAGAGUUGGAGAUCUGGCAGAGAAGCUGUGGCCAGAGGAAGGAGGCUUGGCUGCUGCACCAGACCCAUAGACCACAU